rnacentral:sRNA from 1 species
UUGACAGAAGAUGGAG